UACGUAGGGACCGAGCGUUGUCCGGAUUCAUUGGGCGUAAAGAGCUCGUAGGCGGCUGCUCAAGUCGAAUGUGAAAACUCGAGGCUCAACCUCGAGCCUGCAUUCGAUACGGGCAGACUCGAGUGUGGUAGGGGAGACUGGAACUCCUGGUGUAGCGGUGAAAUGCGCAGAUAUCAGGAAGAACACCGGUGGCGAAGGCGGGUCUCUGGGCCACUACUGACGCUGAGGAGCGAAAGCGUGGGGAGCGAACAGG
rnacentral:rRNA from 1 species